CCUACGGGCGGCUGCAGUGGGGAAUAUUGCACAAUGGGCGCAAGCCUGAUGCAGCCAUGCCGCGUGUGUGAAGAAGGCCUUCGGGUUGUAAAGCACUUUCAGCGGGGAGGAAGGCGUUAAGGUUAAUAACCUUGGCGAUUGACGUUACCUGCAGAAGAAGCCACGGCUAACUCCGUGCCAGCAGCCGCGGUAAUACGGAGGGUGCAAGCGUUAAUCGGAAUUACUGGGCGUAAAGCGCACGCAGGCGGUCUGUCAAGUCGGAUGUGAAAUCCCCGGGCUCAACCUGGGAACUGCAUUCGAAACUGGCAGGCUAGAGUCUUGUAGAGGGGGGUAGAAUUCCAGGUGUAGCGGUGAAAUGCGUAGAGAUCUGGAGGAAUACCGGUGGCGAAGGCGGCCCCCUGGACAAAGACUGACGCUCAGGUGCGAAAGCGUGGGGAGCGAACAGGAUUAGAUACCCGUGUAGUC
rnacentral:rRNA from 1 species